CACGUAGGGCGCAAGCGUUGUCCGGAAUUAUUGGGCGUAAAGAGCUCGUAGGCGGUCUGUUGCGUCCGCUGUGAAAACCCGGGGCUCAACCCCGGGCCUGCAUUCGAUACGGGCAGACUAGAGUUCGGUAGGGGAGUCUGGAAUUCCUGGUGUAGCGGUGAAAUGCGCAGAUAUCAGGAGGAACACCGGUGGCGAAGGCGGGACUCUGGGCCGAUACUGACGCUGAGGCGCGAAAGCGUGGGGAGCGAACAGG
rnacentral:rRNA from 1 species